UGGAAAUGGAAAUUCCUAUGGAGGAAAUGCCGGUUUGGGUCAGGCAGGAAAGUCUAAAUCAGGGUAUGGAAAUGGCUAUGGUGCUGGUGUACAGCCUGACUAUGCAAGUCUUGGCCAAGGUGUACCUACUGCUGAUGGCAAAUUAGG